rnacentral:rRNA from 1 species
UACGAAGGGGGCUAGCGUUGUUCGGAAUUACUGGGCGUAAAGGGCUCGUAGGCGGUCCCUCAAGUCAGGCGUGAAAGCCCCGGGCUCAACCUGGGAACCGCGCUUGAGACUGAUGGGCUAGAGUUCGGGAGAGGAUGGUGGAAUUCCCAGUGUAGAGGUGAAAUUCGUAGAUAUUGGGAAGAACACCGAUGGCGAAGGCAGCCAUCUGGACCGACACUGACGCUGAGGCGCGAAAGCGUGGGGAGCAAACAGG